rnacentral:rRNA from 1 species
UACGUAGGGACCGAGCGUUGUCCGGAAUCAUUGGGCGUAAAGAGCGUGUAGGCGGCCUUUUAAGUCCUGCGUGAAAUCCUGCGGCUCAACCGCAGACGGUCGUGGGAAACUGGAAGGCUAGAGUGCGGGAGAGGAGAGUGGAAUUCCCGGUGUAGCGGUGAAAUGCGCAGAUAUUAGGAAGAACACCAGUGGCGAAGGCGGCUCACUGGCCCGGUACUGACGCUGAGGCGCGAAAGCGUGGGGAGCAAACAGG